AGCAGCCGCGGUAAUUCCAGCUCCAAUAGCGUAUAUUAAAGUUGUUGCAGUUAAAAAGCUCGUAGUUGAAUUUCGGGAUUUGUCAGUUGGUCGGGCUUCACUGUCCGUAUUGACUUGAUGGAUUCUUACCUUCUGAAUAACCAGCAUGCUAUUAAGUUAGUGCGUUGGGGAAGCAGAUCUAUUACCUUGAAAAAAUUAGAGUGCUUAAAGCGAGCUAGUGCUUGAAUAGAUUAGCAUGGAAUAAUAAAAUAGGACGGCAUGGUUCUAUUUUGUUGGUUUCUAGGAUCACCGUAAUGAUUAAUAGGGAUAGUUGGGGGCAUUAGUAUUCAAUUGUCAGAGGUGGAAUUCUUGGAUUUAUUGAAGACUAACUUCUGCGAAAGCAUUUGCCAAGGAUGUUUUCAUUAAUCAAGAACGAAAGUUAGGGGAUCGAAGACGAUCAGAUACCGUCGUAGUCUUAACCAUAAACUAUGCCGACUAGGAAUCGGACGAUGUUAAUUUUAUAAUGACUCGUUCGGCACCU
rnacentral:rRNA from 1 species